GAUGAACGCUGGCGGCGUGCCUAAUACAUGCAAGUCGAGCGAACGGACGAGAAGCUUGCUUCUCUGAUGUUAGCGGCGGACGGGUGAGUAACACGUGGAUAACCUACCUAUAAGACUGGGAUAACUUCGGGAAACCGGAGCUAAUACCGGAUAAUAUUUUGAACCGCAUGGUUCAAAAGUGAAAGACGGUCUUGCUGUCACUUAUAGAUGGAUCCGCGCUGCAUUAGCUAGUUGGUAAGGUAACGGCUUACCAAGGCAACGAUGCAUAGCCGACCUGAGAGGGUGGUCGGCCACCCUGGAACUGAGACACGGUCCAGACUCCUACGGGAGGAAGCAGUAGGGAAUCUUCCGCAAUGGGCGAAAGCCUGACGGAGCAACGCCGCGUGAGUGAUGAAGGUCUUCGGAUCGUAAAGCUCUGUUAUUAGGGAAGAACAUAUGUGUAAGUAACUGUGCACAUCUUGACGGUACCUAAUCAGAAAGCCACGGCUAACUACGUG
rnacentral:rRNA from 1 species